GACGAACGCUGGCGGCGUGCUUAACAUAUGCAAGUCGAACGAUGAACCAGGGCUUGCCCUGGGGAUUAGUGGCGAACGGGUGAGUAACACGUGGGCAACCUGCCCCAGACACCGGGAUAACCAUUCGAAAGAGUGGCUAAUACCGGAUACGACCACUUUGGGCAUCCAACGGUGGUGGAAAGGAUUCUGGUCUGGGAUGGGCCCGCGGCCUAUCAGCUUGUUGGUGGGGUAAUGGCCUACCAAGGCGACGACGGGUAGCCGGCCUGAGAGGGCGACCGGCCACACUGGGACUGAGACACGGCCCAGACUCCUACGGGAGGCAGCAGUGGGGAAUAUUGCGCAAUGGGCGAAAGCCUGACUCAGCGACGCCGCGUGAGGGACGAAGGUCUUCGGAUUGUAAACCUCUUUCAGCAGGGACGAAGCGAAAGUGACUGUACCUGCAGAAGAAGCACCGGCUAACUACGUGCCAGCAGCCGCCGUAAAAC
rnacentral:rRNA from 1 species